CAAGUGUAGUCACAGUUUAUUUCUGAUGUGGCUGAAUCUAGGGACAGGCGGGCUGGGCUGAGUGGGGGGCGUGCCAGGGGCUUCCGGGUGCGGCUGACGUUCUCCGUUUGCCGUGCUGUCUUGGGGGGCAGCAUCUCGGGGUCCACCAUGCAGAUGCUGGAUGGGUCAGGCAGUGGUGGGGGGACCUUGAGGGGGUCAGGCAAAGGGUCGUGGCGAG
ensembl:lncRNA novel transcript, antisense MAP1S